GGAGCGGUGCCCGAGCGGCUGAAGGGACACGACUGGAAAUCGUGUAGGCUCCGAUGAGGGGUCUCGUGGGUUCGAAUCCCACCCGCUCCGCCA
rnacentral:tRNA from 2 species